AGAGUUUGAUCAUGGCUCAGGACGAACGCUGGCGGCGUGCUUAACACAUGCAAGUCACGGGGGCUCGCAAGAGCAACCGGCGAACGGGUGCGUAACACGUGAACAACCUGCCCUCGUGUGGGGGAUAGCCGGGCUAACGCCCGGGUAAUACCGCAUACGUUCUCUUUGGGGAGUCCUGAGGAGAGGAAAGCUCCGGCGCACGGGGAGGGGUUCGCGGCCUAUCAGCUAGUUGGCGGGGUAAUGGCCCACCAAGGCGACGACGGGUAGCUGGUCUGAGAGGAUGGCCAGCCACAUUGGGACUGAGGGACGGCCCAGACUCCUACGGGAGGCAGCAGUGGGGAAUCUUGCGCAAUGGCCGAAAGGCUGACGCAGCGACGCCGCGUGUGGGAGGACGCCUUUCGGGGUGUAAACCACUGUUGCCCGGGACGAACGAGCGCUUUCGAGCGCUGUGACGGUACCGGGUGAGGAAGCACCGGCUAACUCCGUGCCAGCCGCCGCGGUAAUUC
rnacentral:rRNA from 1 species